CGCAUUUACAACUUUGAAUUCAUUUUUAUUCGUUGUAUACAAUUUUUGUGGGUUUCAUACAGAAUAACAGUAUAAUUUAAUUUUCUAUAUUUUGAGUGGUAGGCUGGUAUAUUUCUGUAUUCAUCACAGCUAUUAAUCUUGCUUACUAGUACACAUAAUGACUUUGAAGUGUGUCCCAGAAUUUGAUAAAAAAAAUAAAUCAAAAAAAUUAAAACUUUCAAUCUUAAAGAAACCUAUACAUCUGUUGAAGAUUACAGAAAAUAUUUUCCAUUGUGAUAAUUUUUUAUUAUUUCUUUAAGAAAUACAUAUACACUAUCCACUUUCGUCCAUAUAUCACAGUGACAAUCCUUGUUCCCAUGGUUACUGUCUGUUUGUCUAUCAAACAUCAAGAAUCUGUUUCCAUUUUGUUGUUUGACUGGUCCUUUUUUGAAGUUUGCUUCUUUUGAGGGAUGUCGGUUUCAACUGUAAUAG
rnacentral:lncRNA from 1 species